AUUGAACGCUGGCGGCAUGCCUUACACAUGCAAGUCGAACGGCAGCACGGGAGCAAUCCUGGUGGCGAGUGGCGAACGGGUGAGUAAUAUAUCGGAACGUGCCCAGUCGUGGGGGAUAACGUAGCGAAAGCUACGCUAAUACCGCAUACGAUCUAUGGAUGAAAGCGGGGGAUCGCAAGACCUCGCGCGAUUGGAGCGGCCGAUAUCAGAUUAGGUAGUUGGUGAGGUAAAGGCUCACCAAGCCGACGAUCUGUAGCUGGUCUGAGAGGACGACCAGCCACACUGGGACUGAGACACGGCCCAGACUCCUACGGGAGGCAGCAGUGGGGAAUUUUGGACAAUGGGCGCAAGCCUGAUCCAGCAAUGCCGCGUGCAGGAUGAAGGCCUUCGGGUUGUAAACUGCUUUUGUACGGAACGAAACGGUGAGCUCUAAUACAGUUUGCUAAUGACGGUACCGUAAGAAUAAGCACCGGCUAACUUCGUG
rnacentral:rRNA from 1 species